UGGGGAAUUUUUGGACAAUGGGCGAAAGCCUGAUCCAGCAAUGCCGCGUGUGUGAAGAAGGCCUUCGGGUUGUAAAGCACUUUUGUCCGGAAAGAAAUCCUUGGCUCUAAUACAGUCGGGGGAUGACGGUACCGGAAGAAUAAGCACCGGCUAACUACGUGCCAGCAGCCGCGGUAAUACGUAGGGUGCAAGCGUUAAUCGGAAUUACUGGGCGUAAAGCGUGCGCAGGCGGUUUGCUAAGACCGAUGUGAAAUCCCCGGGCUCAACCUGGGAACUGCAUUGGUGACUGGCAGGCUAGAGUAUGGCAGAGGGGGGUAGAAUUCCACGUGUAGCAGUGAAAUGCGUAGAGAUGUGGAGGAAUACCGAUGGCGAAGGCAGCCCCCUGGGCCAAUACUGACGCUCAUGCACGAAAGCGUGGGGAGCAAACAGGAUUAGAUACCCUGGUAGUCCACGCCCUAAACGAUGUCAACUAGUUGUUGGGGAUUCAUUUCCUUAGUAACGUAGCUAACGCGUGAAGUUGACCGCCUGGGGAGUACGGUCG
rnacentral:rRNA from 1 species